UCGCGUUGGAUAAAACACUUCGAUUAUUUGAUAAAUUAACUUGUGUUAUCCUGAAGGGGACUGUGAAGAACAUAACACCUUGUUGAAAGUUAAGAGAUGCCGAGCAUGUCGAGCUGCAGCAGGCGGUGGUAGAGGCGCUCGCCCUGCGCGUGGUUCAUGAAG